rnacentral:rRNA from 1 species
GACGAACGCUGGCGGCGUGCCUAAUACAUGCAAGUAGAACGCUGAAGGAGGAGCUUGCUUCUCUGGAUGAGUUGCGAACGGGUGAGUAACGCGUAGGUAACCUGCCUGGUAGCGGGGGAUAACUAUUGCAAACGAUAGCUAAUACCGCAUAAGAGUAGAUGUUGCAUGACAUUUGCUUAAAAGGUGCAAUUGCAUCACUACCAGAUGGACCUGCGUUGUAUUAGCUAGUUGGUGGGGUAACGGCUCACCAAGGCGACGAUACAUAGCCGACCUGAGAGGGUGAUCGGCCACACUGGGACUGAGACACGGCCCAGACUCCUACGGGAGGCAGCAGUAGGGAAGCUUCGGCAAGGGACGGAAGUCUGACCGAGCAACGCCGCGUGAGUGAAGAAGGGUUUCGGAUCGUAAAGCUCUGUUGUAAGAGAAGAACGAGUGUGAGAGUGGAAAGUUCACACUGUGACGGUAUCUUACCAGAAAGGGACGGCUAACUACGUG